AUGCUUUUCCUCUUGGGCUGGGGAGAAUGCCCUCUCCCUGUUGCUCCUGGAACCUCUGGGUGCCGGAGCUCUGACCCAAUAAUGCUGGGAGUGCUGGUGGUGCUGCCCCCCAGCAGGGUGCCCAGGAUGAUUGUGUCCUUAUGGAUGGCAUACAUUGCGGCUCGGAAAGGCACUGGUGUGCAUACAGCCACUGAUGAAAACCCAGAUGGCCCUGCUGUGGAGUUUGAUGCAUUUUCCAUGGGCGAAGAGCAGGUCUCCUGGUUGUUCAGGAGGAUGCUGGAAACGUGGACGGGGCUGUGGGGAGGGCAGAGGGCAGAACCCCAGGCAGAGCCUCAGGAAGAUCAGCAAGCAGAGCUUCAGGCACAGCGCACAGCAGCUCCUCCAGCCUCCCCACAUCUCAGCAGUCCAAGCUCCCAGGAUGAUGCUAACGUGGAGGCACCAACAUCCGAGCAGGUGGUCCUGAAGGACAGAGUCCACAUCUUCACAUGGAGCAAGGCCUGUUGUGUGCAUCACAUCUCGAGCAUGCUGGAGAACGAGGAGACAGAGAACAGGCUGGAGCAAACAGAAAACGACAUGCCCCAGCAGCUGCUCCAGGACAUGCCGGACCAAACGAUGGAUGCAGCGGAUGCUGCAGCAAGAGCCAUGACGCACAUCAUGACAGACACUAACAUCCAGUUCAACUUCCCCAGCAAGAAGUAGGAGGUCUCUGUUCUCCUCCCCUUUCCCAGCUGUGUCUGAAGCUGUUUCCACCUCUCCAGAACCGAUCUGCCCCAGGAAAUAAAAGGUUUCAUGCACCAGCGGGGUGAUGUGUG
rnacentral:lncRNA from 1 species